UGCUUCUUUUAUUUGACUCUCUAUCCAUUGCAUGAGAUGUACAAAUUCAAGUAUGAACUGUGACAUGUGCCAGAAGAAAGGUAUAAGUACAAUUUUACUCCAGUUAAAGUAUUGCAAACAAUCAAGUUUACUUUAGGUGCACAUUACAUUCAGAACUUAAAUACACCUAAAUAGUGUGAGAAUCUCCUGGUUGUUGAACUAGAAAAGAGUUGCAGUGAUGCAUCUUAACCUGACAAACGAUCUUUGGUUGAACGUUCCCCUGUUCCAGCGGACUGGGAUAAAACCGUUGCGUUUUAAUUGAGUUAAGCAUUAAAUGCUAAAUAACGCCAGUUAAAAAUAUCCAGCUGUCGUGUUUGAAACCGUUUAAUGGUCUUUUGUAAAUUGCUCAAAUUGGGAAGUUUUCCCCCAAUUAAAUAUAGACGUUUUGUCCCCGGGGUUUGAUCCGGGUACUUUUGUCGAGCGGGAAUUUAGGAUUUAAAAUGGAGGCGAGGGAGAUUAUAAAUUAUGCCCGCUGCUCACACGCGGCUUUGUUCGUUACUGCAAUCAAAGUUAAAUGUUCUACGCUUUGAAGCAUUUCGUGUAUUGGUCAGAACUAGUUCCCUGCGCUACAACAUGAUAACAUGGCAGCUGGUCUGUGAAUGACGAUUGUUCUUGUAACAAUGGCUUCAAAAAGCAACAGACAUAUUAGGGCUGGCCCUAAUAUUGUCCGGCGGGUGUGGACGCAGUAGCGGGUGACACCCGUCUUUUUUUAAUUUUUUGAACUUAAAGUUUUUUUUACUUAAAGUUUCCUCUCGUGCCAGCAGAUGGAGCCAAACAUCAACACAUCCGUGGCUCAGUCGCUGCCUCAUUCGCCUCCAGCUUUGCACAGUCAGCCUCCGUCUGCCUGAGUGGUUCCCAGAGCGACUCAGCAUUUGGCUGCUUUCCCUUUCCCCUCUGGUCGAACUCGUCCCGAACCACGGAUCCAUUCAGAUCAGACGCAGACGGGGCCUGUGAGCUCGCUGGGAGACCGCUGCUACCUCCGCCUCACACUCGACAGGAAGUCUCCAGUCUCCUUUUGGUCGAAGCUCAGACCAGCAGUCCUGCGUUUGUUGACCAGGGACUCCCUCACCUGGCUCUUGUUGGCGGCCACCUUAGCAAACAGCGCCUGGGACACCUUGGCUCUCUUCAUCUCCUGCUGGAUUUCAUCGUAGAUGCCUGACGUGAUGUUGACCAGCGACUCCAGCUUCAGCGGGAGCUCGGGGGCCGGGCCUGACGGCUUGGGCUGCGAGAGAGGAGCAGCAGAGUCUCCGAGGCGCUGGCAUCAGUUGGUGCUGAUAUCUGUCUUCUGCUGGGUCAGAAACUCGACCGUGACAGAUGACAGUGUUUGUGUUUCAACACGGAUCAGGAGAGGAUUCACAGUUUUAGUUUUAGAGCUGUUGGAGCCGUGUCCUCAGACCCAGAGGAGAGCCUCUUCAGCCUGAAAAUGACUUGGGGAUGUGCGGUCGGCCGGGAAGGAAACUCCCUUCACCACAGCCCUGCUAUCUCUGUGGGAGUCCAUCAUCCACAGACUGGCCACACACACAGGCAGCGCACCACGGGAAACACACGUUCAUUCACAAGUACAUGUUGUACGACGGCGUCGAGUUCUGCUGAGCAGAUGUGUGAUGAAGCUCCUGGGACAUCCCCUGCCCCACCCGGGCUCACUGGCUCCACCCACAGCGCAUCUCAACGUUUCCUCAUCAACUGCACAGGAGAAACUCAGAGGAUGAAUUGGUCCUUCGGCUGUGCCUCACCUCCCGGUGGAGCUCUGGGCAAUCACUCUGGCGUCAUCUGCUGGGUCCUCUCUUCAUUUACCAGCCUGGCAGAAAUAAAUCACAGAACAUGGGACACGUUUGAGAGAUGACGCUAAGAGAUAACGAACGAGAACAGUUAGAGAAAAGCAGUGACCUACUUCACAUUAGGACAUUCAUCGCACACUGUCUCCUGAGUCAUCUGGAAGCGCCCGGGUCCGAGCUGUGUUGUCCUCAUCUCCUGUCUGCAGUUACACUUCCUCUUGCCAGGAGCUUC